GAAAUACUAUAAUUUCUUACCUUUGGCCGCAUAUUUUGUUGCAAAUUAAACAUAAUUUGUACGGGAAUCUAACUGCAAGAUAAGGUGAAAAAGUUACCAGCAUUGAAGACCUAAUCUCUAAAGUCUAUCCAGAUGAAGUCUUAGUAGAAAAAAAAUGACUAUCAGUGGAUGUGUCAAAAAACAAUACUGACGGUUAGAAAUAGUAAUGUUGACGAAAUGAAUAACAUAAUACAGAGUAAACUGCCAAGAGAUAGUGUAAACUACAUUUCCAUUGAUAAUAUAAUGGAUCAAGAAGAUUCAGUACAUUACUAAGGUGGCCAUACGUCCCGUUGUCCCCAGGAAAAUUUUGGGGUCACUAAAAUGUCCCGCUUUCAGAAUAUAGUAAAAAAAUAAUUAUAAUAAUUAUAAAAUAUCUGUUGCGACGAACGAUGUAUCAAUAUGGACGUAUUAACCAGUACCUUAUUUGGGUCAUACUGGCAGUACAAAUAAGACCUGGUAUAUAUCUUAUGAGGGCACGGAUGUUGUUGCAUUCUCAAAUUUUUUUCAACUGCUCCAAUUUAUUGCUAAGUAAGUUUUAAAUGCGUAUCGUGUAAGUACGAAUAAAAAUCUAAAACGUAAUUUUUCGCAAUU